rnacentral:rRNA from 1 species
AUUGAACGCUGGCGGCAGGCCUAACACAUGCAAGUCGAGCGAGCGGCGGACGGGUGAGUAAUGUCUGGGAAACUGCCUGAUGGAGGGGGAUAACUAAUGGAAACGGUAGCUAAUACCGCAUACCAUCAGAUGUGCCCAGAUGGGAUUAGCUAGUAGUUGGGGUAACGGAUCACCUAGGCGACGAUCCCUAGCUGGUCUGAGAGGAUGACCAGCCACACUGGAACUGAGACACGGUCCAGACUCCUACGGGAGGCAGCAGUGGGGAAUAUUGCACAAGGGGCGCAAGCCGGAUGCAGCCAUGCCGCGUGUAUGAAGAAGGCCUUCGGGUUGUAAAGUACUUUCAGCGGGGAGGCGUUACCCGCAGAAGAAGCACCGGCUAACUCCGUGCCAGCCGCCGCGGUAAUUC